CAGAGGAGCCUGGUGGGCUACAGUCCAUGGGGUCACAAACAGUCGGACACGACUAAGCGAAUAAGCACAACACACUGUGUGUCUAUGUGACUGUGAGGGCAGUGUCUCAGUAUGUCUUAGCACACAGUAGAUGCCAAAUAAAUGUUGAAUGAAUGAGAGAGCAAAUGAAUGAUGACAGGAUGGGCUGCAAAGGCCCUAGGUCAGCUGGUUCCCGCCUGCCUUCCCAGCACGUAUAGCUAUUUGAUGUUGGAAGUGUGAAAGUGAGGUGGGCUCAGUGACCAGGCAAGCCUCAUGUAAAUGAGUGGCAGGAACUCCUUGACCUUCUGGCACAAGCAUCCAAAACUGGGUUCCAGUCAGUUGGUGCAAGAAGAUCUCUGAAGAGGGCCCGUCGCUUCUGGGGAUCCCUGUGGUGAUGGAGAUGUUCUGUAUCUUUGUGCCAACAUCAGUAUCCGGCUUGGGAGAUUUCACUCUAGCUUUGCAAGAUUGGAUCUGUGCACAGAAAGAAACUCGAAAAAGAGUACAGUAGUCUCUCUCUAUGAUUUUUUACAAGUGCAAAUAAAUCUACAAUUAUCUCAA
ensembl:lncRNA